UCGCGCAGUCACUUUUUCUAAUGAGGAAAGUCGACUCUUAUUGACUGUCUAUAAGAGUCGACUUCUCCAUUAGAGUGUGCCUUUUUGAAUGCUAGCUUGUAUUUUUGCUUUUUCUACUGAGGACAAGUCGACUCUUAUCGACUAGUUUAUAAGAGUCGACUUGUCCAUUAGAGUGCGCCUUUUUGAAUGCUAGCUUGUAUUUUUGUAAUGAUUAUUGUAUUCAAUCGUUUGAAUCUAGGGUUUGAAUGUGCAUAAUAAAUUAUUUUUAAUUCUCGUGUAUAUUGUUGAUGAACGCUUGAUUUUAAAGGUAAAUUUAAAAAAAGGCGAUACUCUCAUUUGGUGCUGGUUGCUGUCCUAUAGUGAUGCUUAGGAUUAGGAUACAUUUACAAAAUUGGUACAGGAAUAGACAUAACUGAAGCUUUAUUUAAUUAAAACGUAAACAGCAUUUGUUAAUAAAUAUUUAGAUCUAAUUUAAUCUAGAUUGUGCGAAAAAUUGCUCGCUAACCAAUGGAGAAUGUGGUAAUCGACUCUUAUUGACUAGUCAAUGCCUAUGAAGUAGUCAAUGCUUAUGGACUAGUCGAUGCUUAUGGACUAGUUUGUAUUCGGUUAAUUGUUAAUAAUUAUUAUUACAAACUUUUAAACUAAAUAAAUACGGAAUAUUCUUUAUAAUAUUUUGUAAUAUUAUAAAUUGAUGUUAAUUCUAUAAUUCUAUAAUAACCCCUUUCCGUUGCUCUUGGCAAAAACCAUUGACGGACUUUAAACUUUGGCAACUCUGCAUUGAUCAUCAAGAAUUACAACAACAACAAGCACCGAAUGAUUCGAAUCAUGUUUCUUGAAAUUAAAUAAAAGCUGGAACAUAAUAGAUUUUACACAAAACGAAAUAAUCUACUUAAAAAAAAACUAGGUUAACCAGCUUGCCAGUGACGCCGGUGUUGAAUUACUCAUUUUUGGGUAUUUCCCAAAUAUUACUGUGGGAAGUUGUGCAACAUGGGCAUUUGGUGAAGAGACUAAAAAUAGUGUAACGAAACGAACAGCCCAAUCUUUUCUUAAACAUUGGAAAAGUAUUUUCAUUAAAAGAAGAUAUACGUCAAAAUCCAGCCAAGGCCAAUGUUGAUGUUGAAAAUGAAGAACCACAAACUGAAAAUGUUGAGUUAAACAAAGAAAAAGAAGUUGUCGGUGUUCAUGUAUCACACACAGGUUCAGAAGGUGAAAGUGUGGAGCCAACGAACAAAGAGUCAGUUUAAGCUGGUGGUGUGGAGUCAUCGAACAAAGAGUCCUUUGAACCUGAGCAACAACAUUUUCCAUCACACUUGAUUCCAGGAACACAGCAUCCGUCCAGUACUGUUACCGUUACACUGACACAAAGUGAAGAUGGCACAUAUUUCCCACCACCACAUCUCAUUGAUGAACUAGAUGCCUGGGAAUUGGGUGUGUCACCUUCACUCACGAUUAAUACACUUGCCCCACCAUCAUCAGGACAGCUGUUGCUUGAAAUUGCAACAGAAUCGAAAUCCGAUGGAACAUGCCGAACAGGGGCUUUAAAUGUGGCUGCGUCUGAACUUCAAGUCCUAGUAAAUGUUUCACUAGGCUCAAAACGAACAGUUCCCGUACAGGAUCCAGCAACAACUCCAGUUGAGUUCGAUUCAACACCGACGCCAUUUGGUACCACUAGUACUCAAGCCGGUUGAAUUAACAACGAUGACCGCUUCGAAUCCUUCGUCGUUCCUUCCUGUAACUUUGAGUGAAACGCAAGUUCUUAUCUCUUCUACUAGUCCGCCCGUUUCAGUUGUCACUAUUCGCAGUGAAACACCCGAACUACCGACCCCUGAAACUGGACAAUGGGGAAAGGAAAAUGGAGUAUUGGCGUCGUCGGAUUCUGCAUCCGCUUCAAUUUUCAAGGAACAAAAGCGGAAGAAGUGUGUCGAAAGUGGAACAAGUACGAAAACAAAAACGCGCUGUCUCAAAAAUGUUGCCUCAACGAAUCAGAAACAGCGGAAGUCAGCAAGAACACCAAAACCAAAAUUGUUCAACUGAGACGGCUUAAAAUUUGUACAAUCUAUUAUUGUACACUGGAAUAAAAAUAAAUUUCACCAAUUUUGCGUA